GCUCUCUCCUGGGCGAGCACCGUCGCACACCGGUGAGUUUUUAAUUUUCCAUUUGUGCAUCCAGUAUCUGCAUCUCCCAUGGUUUGUGCAGAUGCAGUUUAGAGUUGCUCAAGAGUGCUGCAGGAGAUCAAAGCCAGGGACCUUCUGCACUGGAUCUAUCACAAGACAUUUAUUGAGGAUUUUAUGUGAGCUUCACUCAGUUUGCCAAGCUUCCUCCGGGUUAAAGUCACUGGUCGAAGGUUAAGCACAUGAAUUCAAAAGGCCCUGCACAACUUUAGGAGAUGGUGACGUGGGGAUGAUGUAGUUGGGGCCAGUCCUGCUUGGAGCAGGGGGCUGGACCGGAUGAUCUCCUGAGGUCCCUUCCAGCCCUUGUUUUCUGAUUACUGUGGUCCUAGUGGAUGGGGAGACAUUUAUUUUCCUUAAUUUGCUGGACUUCCACCUGCUCACCACGAAUGGGUGGAUCCCUUGACUGGCAGGAACAAACACCACCCAUCCUUGACCUGGUGAUUGCCGCAUCCAUCGCCCCUUUUGCUGCAAGCAGAGUUUGCAAAGAGAGGUUUUCUGAACAAACUCAGAACAGUUUCCUUCCACCCUCUGCCUGUCACUUAGCUUCUGGUCUUUACAGCCUCAGCAUCGUAUAAGGAGACACUUCCAAGGUGGGUCUCUCUCUUGCUGCCAGAAAGAUUAAUGGGGUAGCAUUUUGCAGAAAACGGGCAUUCAGUGAUUCAGAUAUUUUAAUUCAAAUGUAUUCACAUCUGCUCCAUACAAGUCAACUUGUCCUGACCUGCCGUGAUGUCACAGACAUGCCAUGCUGACCUCAUGGAACAUCACUGAUGUCAGGCAGGUAGACUUUCUCAGGUCCCAGCUCCAGCUCUGGUGGCUUAGGUCAAAGAUUUUGCAGCAGCCAAGGGACUUUAUACUGAGCGGCUGGUGCAAGUUGAAUAUGCAGGUUGGUGGAAGAAGUCCGAGGAGCAGGGCUGCGGAUCUCCGGCAGGGAGGAGCAAGAAGCUGGAACCCACUGGUCCCCCUGGAAAACCAAUCCAGCCCAAGGCCUCCUCCAUGUCAGCCACAGGGCAUCUCUGGUCUCUGUUGGAUCAGAAGUCAAUCUGUGAAGGCACUUAAUAAUCAGAAGCAAAGCCUGAUCCUGCUUCCACUGCAAAACGUCCCUUAGCUUCAGUACCUGAAGGCUCAACCUCAGCUGCCUGCAUCCUUAAAUGUAGAAAAGCCUGCAGAAAGAGUUGCGCACGACACACGUAGAAGGACCGGUCAUCUGCCACCAGCACGCAGCCACCUCAGGUGGCACAGAACAGCUCUUCAGCAACGCGGCAGGACAGAUGACGCUGGAAAGGAAGAAGAAAAAUGGACAGAAACAACCUGGUCCCUUUCCAGGUCUCUCCCUCUCACCUCAGUAACUCACCUCAGUUACCCACAUGGUUGACAAGACGCAAGCCAAGGGAAAUUUUGAUAUUGCCACCUUGGGUUUCAUUCCAU
ensembl:lncRNA